rnacentral:rRNA from 1 species
AAUGAACGCUGGCGGCGUGGUUAAGACAUGCAAGUCGAACGGUUUUUCAGGUGUAGCAAUACAUUUGAAGAGCAGUGGCGAACGGGUGCGUAACACGUGAACAAUCUACCUUUUAGUGUGGAAUAGCUCGGCGAAAGCCGGAUUAAUACCGCAUGUGGUUGCCUCUCGCAUGAGAGACGUACUAAAGUCAGGGACCGCAAGGCCUGACGCUAUUAGAGGAGUUCGCGGCCUAUCAGCUAGUUGGCGAGGUAACGGCUCCCCAAGGCGAUGACGGGUAGCUGGUCUGAGAGGACGACCAGUCACACUGGAACUGAGACACGGUCCAGACACCUACGGGUGCAGCAGUCGAGAAUUUUUCNCAAUGGGGAAACCCUGAAGAGCGACGCCGCGUGGAGG